rnacentral:rRNA from 1 species
GCAUAUCAAUAAGCGGAGGAAAAGAAAAUAACAAUGAUUCCCCUAGUAACGGCGAGUGAAGAGGGAAAAGCUCAAGUUUGGAAGCUUCGUGGCAUAGCUACGACGCGUUGUAAACUGAAGUUUUUUGGGUGAUUGGGCGACCGGAUAAAUAAGUCCUUUGGAAAGGGGCAACAUAGAGGGUGACAUUCCCGUCUUUGGUCCGAGUCAGUGCAGUCGCUGCCCAGGAAACGACGAGUCAGGUUGUUUGGGAAUGCAGCCUAAAAUGGGAGGUAAAUCUCUCCUAAAGCUAAAUACUGGCGUAAGACCGAUAGCGAACAAGUACCGUGAGGGAAAGAUGAAAAGGACUUUGAAAAGAGGGUCAAAUAGUACGUGAAAUUGUUGAAAGGGAACCGUAUGAAAGUAGACUGGCUUGGUGAUGAUCAAUGUGUGUUUCGGCACGCAUGCACUCAUUGCCUUUGCCAGCCAGCGGCAGUUUUUGCUAAAGGAAGAAAAUCAGGGGAAUGUAGCUUCGAUUUCGGUUGAAGUGUUAUAGCUCCUGGUAAAAUACUUUGGCAGAGACUGAGGCUAGCAGCGGAUCUUUGGGAACUUUGCGCGCUUGUCGUCCAAUGGUCAAGUUUUCUUCGGAUGCUUGGUCAUUGGGUGGCAACUCGUGUGAUGCUUCACCCUUCCGCUUAGGUCGCUGGCGUAAUGCUUUUAUAUGACCCGUCUUGAAACACGGACCAAGGAGUCCACGUAUAGAGCGAGUCGUUGGGUGGCAAACCCAAAGGCGAAGUGAAAGCGAUUGGGAAGAAACUGUUACAGGUGGCACUCCCGGGGGGAUAUGACGUUUUAUACAGAUUGACCUCACCCAAAGCUCUAUGCAUGGGACCCGAAAGAUGGUGAACUAUACUUGAAUAGGGUGAAGCCAGAGGAAACUCUGGUGGAGGCUCGUAGCGAUUCUGACGUGCAAAUCGAUCGUCGAAUUUGAGUAUAGGGGCGAAAGACUAAUCGAACCAUC